rnacentral:lncRNA from 10 species
GUUCCAACAUGGGAAAUACCAUUGUGUAUGUGUGUUUACGUGCUUUUGGUUUUUGAGUUUGGUAAACUUAAACCUCUAAAUCUGAUGUGCUGUGUACUCAGGAAACUACUUAAAACUAUCACUAAAGGAUAUUAUAAUAAAAACCCAAGCUCCUGAAUUAUUUAAAACUAUAAGAUUGCAGUCGUUAAACUAAACUAAUUUUUAUUUUUUUUUUUUUUUUUGAGACAGGGUCUUACUCUGUCACCUAGGCUGGAGUACAGUAGUGCGAUCAUGGUUCACUGUAGCCUCGACCUCCCGGGCUCAAGCAAUCCUCCCACCUCAGCUGGCUAAGUAGCUGGAACUACAGACAUGUGCCACCAUGCCUCAUUAAGGGAGAAGAAAGGCAUGAGGAAAAGAGGAAGAUUGUUAUUGUCAAUAUAUUUCAUAUUGGAAAAGGGCUCCAUGCCACAUUUUUGUUCUGUGGCCUUAGCGCCUCUCUCAGCCUAGUUUUCUUUAGCUGUAGAACAGGGAUCCUAGUACUGCAUAAAGUGUUUGUGAAGAAGAAUACAUUAGCUAAUAACAUAAAGGUUUUAAUACAGUGCAUAUCAUACAGCCUGGCCAACAUGGCGAAACCCCAUCUCUACUAAAAAUACAAAAAAUCAGCUGGGCGUGAUGGUGUGCCUAUAGUUGCUGCUACUUGGGAGGCUGAGGCAGGAGAAUCAAUUGAGCCUGUGAGGCGGGGGUUGCAGUGAGCUGAGAUCGCGCCACAGCACUCCAGCCUGGGCGACAGAGUGAGUGAGACUCCAUCCCAAAAAAAUAAAUAAAUAAAGCCUAUCUUCCGGCCAGAAUAUAAACUCCAUGGAUGGCAUUUGUCUCAGUUAACACUCUUUCUCUAAUAGCUCCUGAAUUGCCUGCUAGAAUCGCCUAUAGGAAGACAUGACAUUAUGGGGAAUGCGUUAAGUAGCUCCCAACAUGGUCAUGUGCUCACACUAGGACUAAGAUACUGUUAUUAAAUAAAUCAUGGAAAAAUGAACUUAGAAAGGGAUAUGAAGGAUUAGCCAGUAAGUCUCUAUAAAACAUAAGGGAAUUAUAUCCAUAUUACCUUGUAUAUAAAAUGCCUUAUUUUUCAGCAUUCUUUUUUUUGUUGUUUUUUUGAGACAGGAUCUCUUACUCUAUGGCCCAGGCUGGAUUGCAGUGGCAUGAUCUUGGCUCGCUGCAGUCUCAACCUCCUGGGCUCAAGCAGUCCUCCCACUACAGCCUCCCGAGUAGCUGGGACUACGGGUGUGCAUCACCAUGCCAGGCUAAUUUUUGUAUUUUUCGUAGAGGGGGUUUCCACCAUGUCACCCAGGCUGGUCUCGAACUCCUGAGCUCAAGCAAUCUGCCUGCCUUGGCCUCUCAAAUUGCUGAGAUUUCACACGCAUGAGCCCAGCCAUUUUUCAGCACAUUCUUUAGGCAAUUUCCUUUCAGCAUUUUAGAGUAGUAAGUACUCUAAGUAGAAUUUACCAAGUUCUUGGUCUUCAUAAAUUGACAACCUCUUAUUUUGUAGGUUAUAGUGCCAUCAUGUGGAUACUUUGUUUUCUUCAAAUAAAAUGUAACCUUUUUAUAACAGAGACUAGAAAACCCAGCCAUCCCAACACCCAGGAUAGAGGCACUCUCCAUUCCUGAUUGUUCCAAGGCUCAAGUGGUCAGAAAUGACUGGGAAGAAGGGAGAAAAACUCAGGUGGCAAAGGACAUGGACGAAAACCCAUGGCGACAUGGAAAGAAAACCCUGUGAUAUAGAGAGGAAAAGCACAGGACAGCUUAUUGGGGAGAAUGGAACUCUUCUGUAUCCUGAUUGCGGUGAUGGCCACGCAUGGCUUAGAGACGGGCUUUCACCACGUUGACUAAGCUAGUCUUGAACUCGUGACCUCAGGUGAUCCACCUGCCUCAGCCUCGCUAAGUCUAAGUAUGCUAUUUUAGAAAUCUGGUUGUAUAAUCUUGGGUAGUUUCUACUUCUAACACUGAUGUUGAGCAAACCCAGUAUUCAGGAACCACUUGGUACAAGUUAAUUUUUUUUUUUUUUUUUUUUUUAGACGGAGUCUCACUUUGUCGCCAGGCUGGAGUGCAGCCAUGCUAUCAAGGCUCACUGCAAUCUCCGCCUCCCAGGUUCAAGUGAUUCCCCUGCCUCAGUCUCCCGAGUAGCUGGGACUACAGGCGCGUAACACCAUGCCCAGCUAAUUUUUUUGUAUUUUAGAAGAACAGGUUUUAACCAUGUUGGCCAGGAUGGUCUGGAUCUCCUGACCUCGUGAUCUGCCCUCCUCGGCCUCCCAAAGUGCUGGGAUUAAAGGCAUGAGCCAAUGCACCCAGCCCAAGUUAAUAUUAUUGAUCAACCACCUUCCUUAGCCCAGGAACUACGUCUUUUAGUCCAUUUGUUCUUUCUGUGAAUUAGCUUCCCUCCAGACUUACCACAUUUGACUUGUUCGCUUUCUUUGUUCCUAUCUUCUCAAAUGAGAUGGCCUAUAUUACUUAUUUAAUUUAUUUAUUUCGAGACAGAGUCUUGCUUUGUUGCCCAGGCUGGAGUGCAAUGAUGCAAUCUCAACUCACUACAACCUCUGCCUCCUAGGUUCAAGCAAUUCUCCUGCGUCAGCCUCCCAAGUAACUGGGAUUACAGGCGCCUGCCACCGUGCCCAGCUAAUUUUUUGGUUUUUUUUAGUAGAGAUGGGGUUUCGCCAUGUUGGCCAGGUUGGUCUCGAACUCCUGACCUCAGGUGAUCCACCCGUGUUGGCUUCCCAAAGUGCUGGGAUUACAGGCAUGAGCCACUGUGCCCCGCCUGCUUAUUUUUAUUAAGUUACAAGUUCUUCCAUCUUCUUUGUCAUCAUCCUUAUCUGGGUGGGUCACAAUUCAUAUUUUGCUCUUGGUAACACACAUUUUUUUUUUCUUGGUAGAAAUAGGUCUUGUCUUGAACUCCUGACCUCAAGCAAUCCUCUUGCCUUGGCUUCCUAAAGUGCUGGUAUUACAGGUGUAAGCCACCGUGCCUGGGGUAUUUUUAAUAUGAUGUAACAGUUCAGAAAAAUGUCAUCUCCCCUUCUUUCACAUGUCAUGUAUAAGUCCUUGCAAUCCAUUACCCAGAUUUACUCUGUAUUCCCAAUUUUGAGAAAUCAUAAAUGCAUCAUCUAUCUCAAAUAGUGAGUUAUCUAUCUCAAAUAGUGGGCUUUUCCUCAAAAUGAGUUCUUUUUCAGUGCAGCUUUUAGCUUAUUAAAUUACCUGUCUAAAAGUGACUGCAAAGAAAUAUAAAGGAUCCACUGGUAAUUUCUUUUUAUUAAAAAAGAAUACUUUUUAUAUUUCCUUUUAAAAUAGCUUUCAACCAGAAUUGUCUAGGAGAGGCAAAGAUAUAACCUGUUCAUCUGGUACCACUAUCACCCACAGAAUAUGAUAUGAGUUCUGAGCUUUUCCGAUUAAAGACCUUGUACUUUUGUUCUUUUAUUUAUUUAUUUAAUUUUAUUUAAUUAAUUAAUUUUUUUGAGUCAGAGUCUUGGUCUGUCACCCAGGCUGGAGUGCAGUGGCAUGAUUGUGGCUCACUGCAACCUCUGCCUCCUGGGCUCAAGUGAUUCUCAUGUCUCAGCCUCCCCAGUAGCUGGGACUACAGGCAUGCACCACCAAGCCUGGCUAAUUUUUGUAUUUUUGGUAAAGAUGGGGUCUUGCUGUAUUGCCCAGGGUAGUCUCAAACUCCUGACCUCAAGUGAUCCACCCACCAUGGACUCCCAAAGUGUCAAUUGCAGGCGUGAGCCACUGUGCCCAGCAGGAAUUUGUCUAAUAUUCUUCUCAUGAUAGACUGGGCUUAGGGGUUUGGGGAGGAUGAUCACAGAGGUAAAGUGCCAUUCUCAGCACAUCAUGCCAAGGGUACAUUGUUAAUACUGGGCUUGAUCACCUGACUGAAGGGUAUUUGUCAGAUUGCACCACUGUAAGUUCUUUUUUUUUUUUUUUUUUUGAGACAGGGGGUCUUGCUCUGUUGCCCAAGCUGGAGGGCAAUGGUGCGAUCACAGUUCACUGCAAUCUCAAUCUCCUGAACUCAAGCAAUCCUUCCACCUCAGCCUCCCCAGGCUGGUCUUGCACUUCUGGCCUCAAGCAAUCCUCCCUCCUUGAGGUGUACUGAGCCAGCUUAAGGGUACAGCUAGGAAAAAUCCAAGGCACAGAUGCAUCUGGCUGCUUUUUCCAAAGAGGUUCGCAGGAAGUUCAGUAUUUAUACAUUUUUCUUAAAUCAAGGGGGUGGCAGUGAGCAAAUAGUUACCUACUUGUGACACUUUAGUUGGUGCUCAGUAAAUCUACAGUUUACAUAAGAUAAGGUAAACCUUUGAAGAAAAGGGGCAUGAGGCUGGGCACGGUGGCUCACGCCUGUAAUCCUAGCACUUUGGGAGGUUGAGGUGGACGGGUCAUGUGGAGACAGGAGUUCGAGACCAGCCUGGCCAACAUGGUGAAACCCCGUCUCUACGAAAAAUACAAAAAAUAGCCGAGUAUGGUGGAAGGCGUCUGUAAUCCCAGCUACUUGGGAAGCUGAGGCAGGAGAAUCACUUGAAGCCAGGAGGCAGAGGUUGCAGUGAGCUGAGAUUGCACCACUGCACUCCAGCCUGGGCAACAGAGUGAAACUCCAUCUCAAAAAAAAAAAAAAAAAAGUGGACCUGAAGCUACAUCUUUCUACUACUAAAAACCUAACACGAGCAAUUUAGUUUCAGCAAACAACACCAUCUGUCUCUCAGUUGGCUCCUGUGCCCCUUUGAAAUACUCUUAUGGAAGCAGAUUUUGUUUUGUUUUGUUUUUUAGUACUUCCUUACUUUCUUAACCUAUACAGUUUUGUUUAUUUGUUUGUUUAAAGAUAGGGUCUGGCUCUGUUACCCAGUCUGUAGUGCAGUGGCAUAAUCACAGCUCACUGCAAACAUGACCUCCUGGACUCAAGUGAUCCUCCCAUUUCAGCCUCCAGAGUAGCUGGGACUACAGGCAUGCACCACCAUACCCAGCUGCUAUUUUGUUGUAUUUAUUUUUCAUAGAGACAGGGUUUUGCUCUGUUGCCCAGGCUGGUCUUGAACUCCUGGCCUCAAGUAACCCUUCUAUCCCCAUCUUCCAAAGUGCUGGGAUUACAGGCAUGAGCCACUGUACCCGGCCAUCACGUCAGCCACUUCUUUAAAGAGACUCGCACUUUUGUAAGCUCAAAAUAGCUGUUUUGUUUUGUUUUUUUCUUUUCUGAGACAGAGCCUUACUCUGUUGCCCAUGCUGGAGUGGCAAGAUCUCAACUCACUGAAACCUCUGCCUCUGAGGUUCAAGUGAUUCUCCUGCCUCAGCCUCCUGAGUAGCUGGGAUUACAGGCACACACCACCAGCCCAGGCUUAUUUUUGUAUUUUUAGUAGAGAUAGGGUCUGACCAUAUUGGCCAGGCUGGUCUCAAGGUCCUGGCCUCGAGCAAUCCACCCGCCUCGGACUCCGAAAGUGCUGGGAUUACAGGCUAAGCCAUCACGCCCAGCCUCAAAAUAGCUCCUUAAUGAGCCACUCCAAACGUUAAAACUGUUGUACAGUAUCUAGGGGUAUCCCAAAAUAAAAGGUAGAAAAAUGUUUAAUACAUGACAUAACUGGCCGGGCUUGGUGGCUCACGCCUGUAAUCUCAACUCUUUGGGAGGCUGAGGCGGGUGGAUCACUUGAGGUCAGGAGUUCAAGACCAGCCUGGCCAAUAUGGUGAAACCUUGUCUCUACUAAAAAUACAAAAAAAUUCGCUGGGUGUAUUGGCAUGUGCCUGUAGUUCCAGCUACUCGGGAGUCUGAGGCAUGAGAAUGGCUUGAACCGGGGAGGCGGAGGUUGCAGUGAGCAGAGAUCACACCACUGCACUCCAGCCCGGGCAACGGAGGGAGACUCUGUCUCAAAAAUAUAUAUACACACACACACAAAAUAAUUAUUUGCAUUUUCAUAAAGAUCAAAAUCAGAGAAGUACAAAUAGCUGACUACAAAAUAGCAUAUAUAUUAUAUGUUCUGAUACGUAUAAAAAUAUAUUUAAUCAUAUUCAUAGAAAUAAAUUGUGAGUUAUGUACAUCAACCCAAACAUGAUUCUCUAUUUCUGUAAUAGAGGUAGUUUUUACAAAAAGCAUGUAUUUCUUUCUUUCUUUUUUUUUUUUUUUGAGAUGGAGUCUUGCUCUAUUGUCAGGCUGGAGUGCAGUGGCAUGAUCUCGGUUCACUGCAAUCUCCACCUUGUGAAUUCAAGUGAUUCUCCUGCCUCAGCCUCCUGAGUAGCUGGGAUUUCAGGCAUGCAGCACUAUGCCCAGCUAAUUUUUGUAUUUUUUUAGUAGAGACAAGGUUUUACCAUAUUGGCCAGGCUGGUCUCGAAGUGAUCCACCUUACCUCAAGUGAUCCACCAGCCUCAGCCUCCCAAAGUGCUGGGAUUACAAGUGUGAGCCAUUGUGCCCCGCCAACAUUACUUUUGAAGUCAGAAACAAUUAUAAAGGAAUUAAAUAAACAUACAAGGCCAAAACACAGUUUUGUAAAAUGUAGCAUUAGCUAAAAAGUAAAACAAGGAAAGCAAUCAUAGAUGAACUAGGAUUUGAGGUUUGUUUGGGGAGUAAGGACCAACUAAUGCUAAAAGUGGUAACUUAAAGGGUUACCCAGAAAGAAUUUUUUUUUCUGGAAAAGAAGUAAUUUCACUUUGAUAUUAAGGGCUUGGAUGCUAAUAACUAUUUUACGAAUAUUAUUUCCCUACUGUAGAGUUUGGGUAAACUGUCAAGAGGUGGGGGCAAUCUCUGGAAUUUAGAAAUAAAGGGGGCUGUUAUAGUGAUUCAUGGUUGGCACCCUUCACGCUCGAUCACAUUUCCAACCAGAGUUAAGAGGAACAUGAUGAGAGUGAAGGAAUUUCAUGAGUUAGAGCAGUGGUUCUCAAACUUUUCAGUUUCUUUACACGCUUAAAAAUUACUCUAGCUGGGUGCAGUGGCUCCCGCCUGUAAUCCCAGCACUUUGGGAGGCCCAGGCGGGCAAAUCACCUGAGGUCAGGAGUUCAAGACCAGCCUGACCAACAUGGUGAAACCCCAUC